GCACAUGUUGACUAACCGGAAAUGCGCGGUUGACCAGUUCUUUUGCCCGAGGUACUUACUCUUGUAAGCAGGAGACAUGGGCAUGGGUUUGGUCCAACGAAUACAGAGUAGUUUAUGUAGAGUUCUGCAUGGUGGUCAACGAACUACAGAACAGUUCUAGCAUACUUUGUUCCCGACAUUUCAAAUAUCUUUUUCCUUUUGAUCAGGUAUUUUUCAAAAAAAAAAAAAAAAAAAAAAAAAAAAAAAAAAGAAAAGAAAAGAAGAGAAGAGAAAAGAAAAGAAGAGAAGAGAAAACGGAGAGGAUGUUCGUUAUGGUUCCAUUCCCCUCUUUCCCGCUGCACAAGGCC
rnacentral:sRNA from 1 species